rnacentral:rRNA from 1 species
UACGAAGGGGGCUAGCGUUGCUCGGAAUCACUGGGCGUAAAGGGUGCGUAGGCGGGUCUUUCAGGCAGGGGUGAAAUCCUGGAGCUCAACUCCAGAACUGCCUUUGAUACUGAAGAUCUUGAGUUCGGGAGAGGUGAGUGGAACUGCGGGUGUAGAGGUGAAAUUCGUAGAUAUUCGCAAGAACACCAGUGGCGAAGGCGGCUCACUGGCCCGAUACUGACGCUGAGGCACGAAAGCGUGGGGAGCAAACAGG